rnacentral:lncRNA from 1 species
UUUCGGUGAGAUUCAUGAAAACAACUUAUGAAAACAAUAACAUUAUAAUAUCAUGAAUCAUACGCACUCUGUAACAUAACACAUGUGAUACUUUUAAUAUUUCAAUUAUCAGGUAAUAAAUUUCCUCUUUUACCAGCCUACCAGUAUCCAUGGGGAUCCAUAGGGGCCCCCGCUACACGUGAACCAUUCACUUUAAUAAAUUAACUCCAGAGCCG